GGGAGAACUUGGAAAGGUAACUUCCUGUGGCUUGUUCCUGUCUGAACCAAGUAGGAGUUUGCCUACCUGUUCUUGUGGAGCUGAAGCUACCAUUUCUUCUGUCCUAGUAUCCUGGUGGGAGAUCCUAUCAACUUUGUCUCCUAAUUUAUCAUCCAACUGUGGUGCUGAUUCCUGAGUGUGUUUCCUGACAUCUGUGAAGAGAACUGCUGGCAAGUCAGUAAACCUGUCUGUGGGAAAGGCCAGAAGCCAUCUUGGGCCCAGGCUGAAGAAGAUUUUAAAGAUGGUUUUCAGAUGGAUUAUCAGUGAAAACCCAGGGCGAAUUCUCAAGACUUCAUGCAUCGAAGAGGAGCUAAAUACUGUGGCAAAUGCAAGAACAUGGAGCCAGUACUGAAGCCAAAUUUUCACUAAAUAAUAAUGAAGCAGAGAAUAAAGUUUAGAAAAAUCUUAGUUUUAUUUCUCUA
rnacentral:lncRNA from 1 species